AUUUAUAUAUUAUUAAAGCAAAAUCUUUUACUAGCCACUAGUUGUACCUUCUUAGUCUACAGAUUCCUUAUAGGUACUUUGUUUUAUAGCAGUUAACAGUCUGUGACUGCAGGGUGAUUCAAAAAGAAUAACACAACUUUGAAAAUCUGUAUUUAAUCAAAGAAACAUGAUGACAACAGCUCUCCUAGCGACCUAAUGAGUAACCAAAUGAAACUUCAGAGCUUCCUUAAAUCAACGACAGAAAGAGCUUAGCUCCCCUUUUCUUCUUUGCAGAGUUUUCGAUUUUCAAAUUUGUGGGAUUCCUUUUGAAUCACCCUGUAUACAGUUUUUUCUGUUUUUAACAUCUGAUGUUUCCUGAUAGGUAAUCGUUUACAUCACUUUGGGAGAGGGAGUGAAAACGGGCAGUCAAUCAGUGUCUGAAAAGAGAAAAUACACCCAAUACAGAGGCUAGUAAGGAGCACUUCCAGUGCACAAAGUUAAUGUCUUAACAGAUUACAAGAUCAAGUCAUUAACAUGAACCAAAAGGACAAACUCGUCAAAA